AGGUCCCACCUGCCCGGUGACUAUAAGUUUAACGGCCGCGGUAUUUUGACCGUGCAAAGGUAGCACAAUCACUUGUCCUUUAAAUGAGGACCUGUAUGAAUGGUAUAACGAAGGCUAAGCUGUCUCCCAUCUCAAGUCAAUGAAAUUGAUCUCCCCGUGCAGAAGCGGGGAUACAAACAUAAGACGAGAAGACCCUAUGGAGCUUUAGACACCAGGGCAGCCCAUGUUAAACAACCCUAAAUAAAAGCCAAACUAAAUGCAAACUGCCCAAAUGUCUUUGGUUGGGGCGACCGCGUGGCAUCGAAAAACCCCCGCGUGGAACUGAAACACAAACGUUUCUGAAACUAAGAGUCACCUAUUCGAAAUUCCAGAACAUCUGACCAAAAAUGAUCCGGCAACGCCGAACAACGAACCCAGUUACCCUAGGGAUAACAGCGCAAUCCCCUUUCAGAGCCCAUAUCGACAAGGGGGUUUACGACCUCGAUGUUGGAUCAGGGCAUCCUAAUGGUGCAGCCGCUAUUAAGGGUUCGUUUGUUCAACGAUUAAAGCCCUACGUGAU
rnacentral:rRNA from 1 species